rnacentral:rRNA from 2 species
AUUGCCUCAGUAACGGCGAGUGAAGCGGCAAGAGCUCAAAUUUGAAAUCUGGCCCCGUCGGGGUCCGAGUUGUAAUUUGUAGAGAGUGUUUCGGGGGAGGCCGCGGUCUAAGUCCAUUGGAACAUGGCGUCACAGAGGGUGAGAGUCCCGUAUGCGACCGCGGAUCGAGCCCGUGUGAAACCUCUUCGACGAGUCGAGUUGUUUGGGAAUGCAGCUCAAAAUGGGUGGUAAAUUUCAUCUAAAGCUAAAUACUGGCUCAAGACCGAUAGCGCACAAGUAGAGUGAUCGAAAGAUGAAAAGCACUUUGGAAAGAGAGUCAAACAGUACGUGAAAUUGUUGAAA